CUCAGCCUUUCUUUGUCGCUUUCCUCCGUCUUUUCUUUCCCCUCCAUCAACAAAACGCUAUCAGCAGUUUGUCUUUUUUUUUUUUGCGCGCGCAGCUUUUGUUGCGUUACAAAAGCCUUUGUUGGCCUGCCACCGCUGUGAUGUGGUGGGACGGAGAUGCGCAAGGACAAACUUGAGCUCCGUGAAGGCAGCUCUCAGACACUCGCUGCUCGUCCGGUGAUAAGGGCUCGGGCCGAGCGCUGGCGGCGCCGCCUGGACGCGAGCCAGACACGCGUGUAAACACUCGUCCGCGGGGCCGACUGGCCGUUGAUCUGUGCAGGUGAGUAAAUCCUAUGUGGGUGCGAUGCUCAGCGAGAGGGACCGCCCGCGCAGCACGGCGGGAGUCUCCGCCGGCUGCAGGGCGCCGACAACUGUUACGGAAGGGGCUAAUAAUAACCUGGAGCGGAGCGAGGGCCCGCGGGCCAACCGGUUGAUCCCGGGGGUCCGGUUUCAGCGGCGAGUGAGGAUUAGAGCGGGUCGUGUAUUACAGAGCGGCAUUUCCCCCACGUGAGGGUGAAGGUGGGAGUGCAGAGAUACACAGAACCUUGAAGGCAGAAGUUUGGGAGCUUGGAGAGAACAUUAAGACUAUGAUUGAGGAGAGAGUUGCACUAAAUGGAAACACGUGGAACUCGUGAAUAUAGAAACGGCAUCAGACGUUCCUUUCUUGGAAAGCGGAGGGGUUUUUAUUAGGAAACCAGGAUGUAGAUCAGUCCGUCACCCCCACGCGCCACCAGAAGAGGUAUAAAAACAGCCAGGAAUCCUCUCAACACACUAUAACAGCGUCGCUUCAUCUGCGACACCUUCUAUUUGCUGUGGAGAAGUAGAGCGUGAUGUUAGAACCCGCGCUCUGUAACUGGAGCGAAUAGCAGCGAUUGACUUCCUCCUCGGCGCCGACGCGAUCGCACACGCGAAGUGAUCAGUUGCUCAUUACGGCAAAAAGGACAAAAUAUGAAUACGAUUAAAAGAAAGCAUUUUCACGUUGGAGAGCAGCUAUUAGUUGGUGCUGCUCACGUGUGGGUCCGGACCAGUCAUGCGUUCAUGCCUUUGAUUUGUCAGAUCACCUCGCUGGCUGCCUCCAUUCUCAUUCAUUUCACAGUUCAUUCUAUUACUUGCAUGAGCAAUUACUGCUCGGUGUUGAUGUUUGCUAUUAUUUGCCGCUCGCGUGUGUACAGUGUAAACUCCGGGCGCUUUCCAGAGUCAGUGGCUUCCUGACGAGGUUGAACUAUUUAGCACCGGGCGCCUAUUUACAACAACGUGACCUAAUUAAGGGCCGGACUCCACGUUACGCGUUAUGGUUUGUAGGAUGAAAGCGAAAGGCUCGAAUGAACAGAGACGUUUUCCAGCCCUUCUCCUGGUUUUCCAGCCUUUGUCCUGGUUUUCCAGCCUUUGUCCUGGUUUUCCAGCCUUUGUCCUGGUUUUCCAGCCUUUCUCCUGGUUUUCCAGCCUUUGUCCUGGUUUUCCAGCCCUUCUCCUGGUUUUCCAGCCUUUGUCCUGGUUUUCCAGCCUUUGUCCUGGUUUUCCAGCCCUUCUCCUGGUUUUCCAGCCUUUGUCCUGGUUUUCCAGCCCUUCUCCUGGUUUUCCAGCCUUUGUCCUGGUUUUCCAGCCGGCCUCGCUCCUUCCGUUGGCGACCAGCUGUUUGCCCGUGGCUCAGUAGAAUUGGACAGGUGAAGCAGGACAGCAGGGCAUCAGUGAUACAGUUCGACAGAACCGCAGGCUGCCGAGAGUUCGAUCCGCUCGUGAAGCGAGAACAAAGGUGCGGCUGUGAGAGAAGCCGGUUUGUUUAGUAACGGAGCAGCGGUUGUUAAUGUGAAAUACGUGUUUUUGCGCUGAACGCUGCCUUUCCGUCUUUCGCUGCAGACCCAGCAGCUCGGCCGGGCCCAGCGGUGUAGAACACCUAUUCGGUAACAUUCUCUUCAGGAUGCGCCGAGGUUGAAAUAUGAGCAUUAUGAACCUGUCUUCUGGCUGAGAGCGGAUUCCUUCGCGGGCGCGUAAAGACGCUGGCGCUGGAGACAUGACUUACAAUAAGAAACGGGUGCAAGUGUCCUUGUGAGUGUCAGAACGCAAUUACAGGCCUCUGUAUGUGACUGUGACCCGUGUGUGUGUGUGUGUGUGUGUGUGUGUGUGUGUGUGUGUGUGUGUGUGUGUGUGUGUGUGUGUGCGAGCUCCUCUCCGUGUUGCUGGCGGGUCGUGAUAAACAAAGAAUGCGCAGCCUGUGCGCACACGAACGCUGACGGAUGUGUGCGUUCGCGAGCCGCUAAGUGAAGGAAUGCUGUCGCUCGUCAUUCCUGCACCUCUGCCUCGGCGUGUGCCGACAGGCUCUGUCUCCAGCUCGACCUGUGACAGAAUGGGCACAAUCGUGCGAUGUGGUCCAAACGCAGUGGUUGUGACCGGAGCUCAGGACCAGGACCCGAUGGACCAGGACCCGAUGGACCAGGACCCGAUGGACCAGGACCCGAUGGACCAGGACCCGAUGGACCGACUCAGGGACUAAAUCAUGUCUUGGGAGCAGCCGUCACAUUCUUGGGCCUGAGAAGUGGAAGACAAAGGCAGAAUGCUGCCGUGGACCUGUUGACACCGUCGCGGCCUUGAAGCCUCGUCACAUACAGCGUCCAAUAAAAUGGAGCUUUUCCACUUUUCACGUGACAUUCGACCCGACGGGUCGGUAAAAGACAUGAAAUGUAAAUAUAAAUGAGUCUAACUCUACAAUUCAUAUAUCGCCUAACAUAUAUAGGCUGCAAAUACUUACUUAUUUAUUAUAGAUUUGAUUUUGUCCUCUCAGCCUUGUGCUGCUAAAUUGAAAACACUUCAUGGCUUGUUGCUUGAAUUUAAGGGUUUAUUACACAGGUCUUAUGGGGAAGCAGAGCGGAGCAGCUGGUUAUGGCUCAAACAAAGGACAGGAAGUGCAGGUUAGGCCAGGACAGAUGGGAGCAGGUCUGUGUCACAGUGAUGACCUGCUUCAGUUGAUCAUGCACGACUCAUACGUGGGCACCAUAUACUUGAUGUUGAUGAAGGCAUCCUCCCCCCCGUAGCGCUCGAACACCUCCAGGGUCUCCUGGAUCAGGUCUCCAAUGUUCUCUCUCUUCUGCUGGCUGUAGUCGAUGCCGUCGCCAGAGUUGACUGAGGACAGAGACACACACACACAAUCAGAGCAGCUCAGUCAGGCUGAUCACAGACCGUCCUUAAAUGUGACUUCGAGCCCAGUGAGGUGAUUGGAUUUCAUCUGCUGCUCUACGACAGUCGGGACCGAGCAGCGCGAGAGCUUUCAGCGGUCGGGCUGAGGGUUUAAUGAGGCGUAAGGACGGACGAGCCACGAGCCCUGACCUGGAGUCAGCCUCCACAGCUUUCGGCAAUAUCCGCCACCCUGGGCUGAGGCAAAGAAAAAAAUCUUUAAAAACAAUCAUAAUAAAAGGUCCCACCCUGUGAAGAGAGGGGAAAGGGCCCUGGCAGGAGCUGGCUUUGUGCUCCUCUGAGGGAGAGGAGGGUCGAUACGGACGCGGGCCGAGGGGCGGGGGCUGCACAGGAGGAGGAGGAGGAGGAGGAGGAGGAGGAGGAGGACGGGGGGCUCAGAAGGAGCUGCUUCGUCCCCAGCGUUCACGCUCAGAGCUGGGAGGCGACGGGAGCUUCUUCAUUGUUUCAUUAAGGCAUCGGGGGCCGGUGCUCUCGGCCCCUUCGGGCCCCGCUGUGUUUCCUGCCAAGCCGACACUGGACCGACAACAGCUGCAGCCCCGCUCCUGCUUCUCCAUCCUCCACUCCCCACGGUCCUAAACAACCUGUCUUCCCACAUCAAGCUGAAGACAAGCAGCCACAGAUGCACCGCGGUCUUUCCUCCAACUUCACACUGACCCAAUAGUUUUUCUUUCCUCGGGGCUUCAGAUGGAGUUCAGCAUUCCAUGUACGUUGGACGGCUGUAAUCUGCUCUCCUGCCAGGAAGAGGGAGAGGGUUCGGCCUUGUUUGGAACAGGAAAUGGAGGAAUGCAGGUUGGGGGUGAAGUGGGGAGGACCACGUUCCAGGAAUACUGGCGUUCCUGCACGGCUGACGUGUCAUCCUUCAAUCAGCCACUCGCCAGCCUAGUUUUAGGUCUUUACAUAAGCACAAAGAAUAGACCUUGUUUUUUGUAUUGUUAUAGUCUAUUGCUCCAUAAACCAUAAACCAAUUUCCUCAUGGGAAAUGUGCUGAAUUCCUUUUAAAAUGGCAAUUUCCUUAGAACCCCGUUAUAUUUGUUUUCUCUCUCUCUGAAGAAACAGGCCGAUCUCUUUACUAUCGAUAUUAACCUGGAUUGAUAUUUUUUACUUCACCCUGUAUAGUUUUUUAAACGUUUUCCCUUAAACGUAAACACAACUAUUUAAGGUUUUCAAAUAAAAGGCUACCCAAUAGUUUGUCAGUGACAUACAGCAGAACUGAACACAUCCAGUGAUAAUAAGGGCUGUGAUUCCUCCUCCAGUUUUAGUUGUUUAGCAUGUUCUGUGAGGGCGUUUUGUGCCGUGUCAUGUGACUUGAGACGCAGUAAAAGCAGACCUGCUAAACAGUACAUAGUACUGUAUACAUGUGAGUACAAUCUGUGAGCUAGGCCAUGUGUGUGUGUGUGUGUGUGUGUGUGUAGGUGUGAAGAGGUGGAGACGACCACUGGAGAAGUUCUGUGCU